AGAACUCACAUAGUUCCACAUUAGAAUCAUAGUGUUUGACAAGAAAUCCUGCCUCUUGUCUUUUUCUUCCAAGUUUUAGGCAAUCAAGUGCUCCUGAAACCUAGAAAUCCAGCAUGUCUGAAAGCAUUUCUUUUUCAUGGAAUAGACCAGACAAUAGACAUUUGAACAAAGCCCUUGAUGCAACGGCAGUUUUUGGCAAGACUCCCAGGAUUUUUGGAACUGCUCCAGAAUUAAUUAAGAAACUAUUGUUAAUGACCACAGAUACCAGUCAUCUCUGAAGGAAGUAGAAAAUGGUAGUCUGCAGAAUAAACAUGAUGCCAUUUGUAGAUUCUUUUUAAUCAAAAUACUCGAACUGAGAAAAUUACUCAAUAAACAUGAUGAGCAAAU